CAAAUGGCCAAUAUCGGUCCAAAUGACCUGGAUUCUGGCACAUCCCACCAAAUUCAGGCAAGAAGUAAGUACAUCAAAUUUGUUUGAAGAUCGGUUCAGAUAUAGUUAUAGCUCUCAUAUAUAUGUUUCAUCCGACUUGGGGUUUUAAGUCCCUCACAUUCGUAUUAUGUCAUCAGAUACAGCACAGAAAUACCUCUGGCACAUCCGACUUGAAGCAAGUAUCUCAAUCGAAAAUCGAUUCAGACUUGGAUAUGCCUCCCAUAUAUUAGUUCCCUCUGAAACCAAAUUAUAACUGCUCUAAAGCGAUAGGUUGAUAGGUGGUAUGAUCUUCUUCAAAUAAAUUCAUUUUUUACGAGAACUAUACUAAAUAUGCAUGCAGGUUAUCGUAUAUCAGGCCCGACUUACUUUUGACAUUUCCUUUUUGGGUUUUCUUUGAAAAACUCCAAAAGGUAUUCCAGCAGAAGAAGUAUAUAAAUAUCGUUUUUCCUUAGAAUAUCUACAUCUUUUUCAAGUCUUCUGUAAAGGGCAAAACUUUCAUAGAUCGUCUUCUUUAGAAUGAAGAUCACAACGGGGCAUUUAAAAAUAUAAAACACUUUUUAGUAUUUUUGAAUAGAGGCCAUUUAUGAAAUGUUGUGAUAGGUUUCACAGGUCCAUAUUAAUAAAAGAACCGUUAAAAAUCUUUUUUAAAUACCACACUUCGCUGACAGCAUCAAAUUUCAACAAAUUUAUAUUACACAAAAUAUUUCUUCAUUAAAUAAAAAUUAAUUUCAAUUCAUAUUUUUUUGUAAAACAAAUUAAAGCUUAUUCUAUUUUCUAUAAAUAACACUAGGAUAAUGAUAACAAUAGUUAAUAUAUAUUUAUAUUUAGAAUAUAUAAAUUGCACCUUAGGCAAAAAAAAAAAAAUAGUUCAAAAAAAUAAAACGCACAAAAAUGAAUGGGGGUCUGAGCCCUGUUUUGAAAUCUGGAGAAGAUUGAUUACAGAAUUCGUAUUCAUAUUAACAUUUUGAGGGUAGAUAUAUAAUGAAAGUAAAUAAUAUGCGUCCAACAGUCAUUGUUUAAGUUUCAUGUGUACAUUUGUUUAUUAUACACAUUUAAAUUUUAAAAUCCUUUUUUUUAAUUUUUAAAUCCCUUUUUCAUAGCAAAAUAUUGAUACUUAAUUUUACAAAAAACAUUCAGGCAUGUCACAGAAUGUAAAAUCGUUCAAGAGUGAAAACGAAAACGGUUUUAGCUUCUCUAAAAAACGGAAAACGCAAAAAUUUUGCGUUUUGAUAUCACUUUCAAAAAGCAGGGUGAAAUUGAAAUGUUUAGUGAUUUUAACACACAUACAUUUAACAGAAAAUAUUGUAUUAACCAAAUUCACUUAGAAUGAACAUGUUUUUGGAAUUUAUUUUACAAAAAAUCUAUUAUUUUUCUAAUCCAUGAUGAAAACGCAAAAACAUAUGCAGAAAUGAACGGCAGACUUGUAUUGACUUUCUUAAUUUGAUCCAAUGUGGCCAAAUUUCAGCUUCAAUUGCAUUAAUAACUCUCCACAUAAUUGUAGAAACUGUACUUCUCCCAAGGCUUAGCUCCACAUCUCUACCUAUAACUCCUUGAAAUGCACCCGUAGCCAAAAACCUAAGCGUUGUUGCAAGCUGGAUAAUAGCCGGUAUAUUGGAACGUUUGAGGUAGGGAGAAAUUUUUUCCAAAACUAAAACAAAAGCUUCUUUAUUUAGCCGAUAAUAAGUUAUAAAUCUGUAGAAAUAAAUUAUUAUUAAAAUAAAUUUGAAAAUAACUCAUUGCUGGUGGAUCCUUACUCUGCAUUUGAGUGAGAUAAAGGA